rnacentral:rRNA from 1 species
UACGGAGGGUGCGAGCGUUGUCCGGAAUCACUGGGCGUAAAGGGCGCGUAGGUGGCGCGAGAAGUCAACGGUGAAAGCUCGUCGCUCAACGACGAGUCGGCCGUCGAUACUCUCGCGCUGGAGCAUUGGUAGAGGCUCAUGGAAUUCCGGGUGUAGCGGUGGAAUGCGUAGAGAUCCGGAAGAACACCAGCGGCGAGGCGGACAUCCUGGACUGGUCCUGACACUCAUGAGCGAAAGCGUGGGGAGCGAUCCGG